rnacentral:rRNA from 1 species
UACGUAGGGUGCGAGCGUUAAUCGGAAUUACUGGGCGUAAAGCGUGCGCAGGCGGUUCGUUAAGUCAGAUGUGAAAUGCCCGGGCUUAACCUGGGAACUGCAUUUGUGACUGCAUGGCUAGAGUUUGGCAGAGGGGGGUAGAAUUCCACGUGUAGCAGUGAAAUGCGUAGAUAUGUGGAGGAACACCGAUGGCGAAGGCAGCCCCCUGGGUCAAGACUGACGCUCAUGCACGAAAGCGUGGGGAGCAAACAGG